rnacentral:rRNA from 1 species
GGGCGAUGGAUUCCACGAGCGGGAGGACAUGUUAAGAUAAAUGUGGACACGGGUGUUUCAUUUGAUCACAAUGUGGGCACUGUUGCUGCCAUAUGUCGUGAUCGAGAUGGCUCCUACUUGGGUUCUUCUUUAUUGGUCAUCCAGGGUCUGGUAGAUCCCUCCACAUUGGAGCCCCUUGCUUGCAGGUAAGCGCUCUCAUUUGCACAAGACCUAGGAAUGCAACAUAUUCACGUAGCUUCGGACUACAAACAGGUCGUCAAUCACAUUCACCAAGACAUUGGAGGAAAUUAUGGCGGCAUUAUCAAAGAGAUUUAG